GAACUGAAGAGUUUGAUCAUGGCUCAGAUUGAACGCUGGCGGCAGGCCUAACACAUGCAAGUCGAGCGGAUGAGAAGAGCUUGCUCUUCGAUUCAGCGGCGGACGGGUGAGUAAUACCUAGGAAUCUGCCUGAUAGUGGGGGACAACGUUUCGAAAGGAACGCUAAUACCGCAUACGUCCUACGGGAGAAAGCAGGGGACCUUCGGGCCUUGCGCUAUCAGAUGAGCCUAGGUCGGAUUAGCUAGUUGGUGAGGUAAUGGCUCACCAAGGCUACGAUCCGUAACUGGUCUGAGAGGAUGAUCAGUCACACUGGAACUGAGACACGGUCCAGACUCCUACGGGAGGCAGCAGUGGGGAAUAUUGGACAAUGGGCGAAAGCCUGAUCCAGCCAUGCCGCGUGUGUGAAGAAGGUCUUCGGAUUGUAAAGCACUUUAAGUUGGGAGGAAGGGCAGUAAGCGAAUACCUUGCUGUUUUGACGUUACCGACAGAAUAAGCACCGGCUAACUCUGUGCCAGCAGCCGCGGUAAUACAGAGGGUGCAAGCGUUUAAUCGGAAUUACUGGGCGUAAAGCGCGCGUAGGUGGUUUCGUUAAGUUGGAUUGUGAAAUCCCCGGGCUCAACCUGGGAACUGCAUCCAAAACUGGCGAGCUAGAUGAGGGCAGAGGGUGGUGGAAUUUCCUGUGUAGCGGUG
rnacentral:rRNA from 1 species